rnacentral:rRNA from 1 species
GACGAACGCUGGCGGCGUGCCUAAUACAUGCAAGUAGAACGCUGAAGGAGGAGCCUGCUCUUUUGGAUGAGUUGCGCACGGGUGAGUAACGCGUAGGUAACCUGCCUGGUAGCGGGGGAGAACUAUUGGAAACGAUAGAUAAUACCGCAUAAGAGUAGAUGUUGCAUGACGUUCACAAGAAAGGUGCGAUUUCGUCACUACCAAAUGGACCUUCGUUGUUUUAUCUAGUUGGUGGGGUAACGGCUUACCAAGGAGACGGUACAUAAUCGACCUGGCAGGGGGAACGGCCACAAUGGGACUGAGACACGGCCCAGACUCCUACAGGAGGGAGGCGUAGGGGAACGUCGGCCAUGGAGGGAAAUCCUACCGGGGAAAGCCGGGUGAGUGAAGAAGGGUUUCGGAUCGUAAAGCUCUGUUGUAAGGGAAGAACGAGAGUGAGAGUGGAAAGUUCACACUGUGACGGUACCUAACCAGAAAGCCACGGCUAACUACGUG